rnacentral:rRNA from 1 species
AUCGAUGGGUGACACCUUGGGAAGUCUCGUGUUGCACCCAUUGGGGUUAUCUUUCCUGCACUAAUGCACCGGAUCCCGUCA